AUGGAAGUCAAGAAUUUACAAGAUUACAAAGUGACAAAAUUACACAAACACUUAAAGGUCCUAAAGUCUAAACCAAUGCUAAACUUCAUCUUUCAUCUUCUCUACCAAAACUCAAUGAACACCAUCUUUUUAAUUCAUUAUUCAAGCUUCAAACCAUAUUGUGUUGCGCCAAAGCAAUUACAAGCGCAUUGCUUGGCCUCGCCUAAACUACCCGCAAGAUCACACCAUGAACCAUGUCCAAACAUUAACCAUUAA